ACAUAUUCUGUGCUCGAUCUCAAAAACAUUUCUAAGAAGGGGAAGUCAAGUCCUGCACCAGCGGAUGAAACUGUUUAUUCUGAACUCAAACCAGGAACAUUUCUUGGUAAAAAUGCAGCGUAACAUCAUAUCAAACAAUGUCUUCUGUAAGGACAAGAUGAAUGGAAACAAUAUACCAAAACGAAACCUUUGUUUAUUAAACCUUAUUUACA